rnacentral:sRNA from 1 species
UGAAUUAAACUUGAGAAUGUGUCGUGAA